UGACAAUUUCCAGUUCAUUGUUUACAUUAGGAUCAGUUUAAAAUAAUAACAUGACGAAUCGAAUAAUACUCAGAAUCUUGACCAUAUUGCCUAAUAGUAUAAAACGCAAACCUUGUUAACAAAGAGUACAAAGUGACAUUUUCAUAUACCUUGUAUACAACGCAAUCUCAAAAAUAAUACCAAGAUUAAUUAGUUCUAAAAGUCGCGAAUACUUAAAGGUGUUCAACUACUUUCACAAAUUUAAUAGCCAGUAAUUAUAUCCGUCGAAAGUCAACCGUUAAAUAUUCGCUAACAAUUUUAAAUACCG
rnacentral:lncRNA from 1 species